AGCCCAUUGCUGAAGCACCAUUCAAGUUUGACAUGGAGCUGGACGACUUACCUAAGGAGAAGCUCAAAGAACUCAUUUUUGAAGAGACUGCUCGAUUCCAGCCAGGAUACAGAUCUUAAAUUGGUCAGGACACCCCACCCGCAUUGGUAGGAACUACACAGCCCUCCUGAAGAUGAAUGGGAUUUAUUGGCAGCUUUGUUCAUCCUGCAGUUCCUGUCCUUUGCCAUCUGCUCUUGGGUAGAUUCAUAGUACAUCAGCACCUUUGACCUACUCUUGAAUAAAGCACAACCGCAGAUCAAUCCCCAA
rnacentral:lncRNA from 1 species